rnacentral:lncRNA from 13 species
AUGUUUAUAGAUCUUCUCCCUUCACCUGUAGCUGGUCUGCAGAGGCUGCAGUACAGUAUGUUUAUAGAUCUUCUCCCUUCACCUGUAGCUGGUCUGCAGAGGCUGCAGUACAGUAUGUUUAUAGAUCUUCUCCCUUCACCUGUAGCUGGUCUGCAGUACAGUAUGUUUAUAGAUCUUCUCCCUUCACCUGUAGCUGGUCUGCAGAGGCUGCAGUACAGUAUGUUUAUAGAUCUUCUCCCUUCACCUGUAGCUGGUCUGCAGAGGCUGCAGUACAGUAUGUUUAUAGAUCAGGGUGGGACGGAUGCCAACCGCAGAAUUAUUAAAGCACACGAUAACCAUAACCACCACUAAGUCAUUUAUCAGACAAUGUAAAGAGAGGGGAUUCAGAGAGAGAGAGAGCGUUGUGUGAUGUGUGGCUGUCUGUUUAGUAGUCCUGUAGUCCUUAUGGCUGUCUGUUUAGUAGUCCUGUAGUCCUUAUGGCUGUCUGUUUAGUAGUCCUGUAGUCCUUAUGGCUGUCUGUUUAGUAGACCUGUAGUCCUGUAGUCCUUAUGGCUGUCUGUUUAGUAGUCCUGUAGUCCNNNNNNNNNNUUAAGGUUAGGCUUAGGGUUAAGGUUAGGAGUUAGGCUUAGGGUUAAGGUUAGGAGUUAGAUUUAGGGUUAGGAGUUAGAUUUAGGGUUAAAGAAAAUAGGAUUUUGAAUAGGAAUCAAUUAUUUGGUCCCCACAAGGAUAGCAAUACAGAACUGUGUGUGUGUUUAUGCUAGUGCUGUCUGGGGCAGAGAGACACUGUGGUGUAUAGGGACCAGUUAGUCCUAACAGAAGGAAACGGCUACAGUGUGGAGUAUAGGGACUAGUUAGUCCUAACGGAAGGAAACGGCUACAGUGUGGUGUAUAGGGACCAGUUAGUCCUAACAGAAGGAAACGGCUACAGUGUGGAGUAUAGGGACUAGUUAGUCCUAACGGAAGGAAACGGCUACAGUGUGGUGUAUAGGGACUAGUUAGUCCUAACGGCUACAGUGUGGAGUAUAGGGACUAGUUAGUCCUAACAGAAGGAAACGGCUACAG